rnacentral:rRNA from 1 species
UGAAGCUAACGCGUUAAGCACUCCGCCUGGGGACUACGGUCGCAAGACUAAAACUCAAAGGAAUUGACGGGGACCCGCACAAGCGGUGGAGCAUGUGGUUUAAUUCGAUGCAACGCGAAAAACCUUACCACUCCUUGACAUGGAGAUUAGAUCCUUCUUAACGGAAGGGCGCAGUUCGGCUGGAUCUCGCACAGGUGCUGCAUGGCUGUCGUCAGCUCGUGUCGUGAGAUGUUGGGUUAAGUCCCGCAACGAGCGUAACCCUCAUCCUUAGUUGCCAGCGGGUUAUGCCGGGCACUUUAAGGAAACUGCCAGUGGUAAACUGGAGGAAGGUGGGGAUGAUGUCAAGUCAGCACGGCCCUUAUGGGGUGGGCUACACACGUGCUACAAUGGUGACUACAAUAGGUUGCGAUGUCGCAAGGCUGAGCUAAUCCGUAAAAGUCAUCUCAGUUCGGAUUGUCCUCUGUAACUCGAGGGCAUGAAGUCGGAAUCGCUAGUAAUCGUGGAUCAGCAUGCCACGGUGAAUACGUUCUCGGGUCUUGUACACACUGCCCGUCACGCCAUGGAAUUGCUACCCAAA